GUUUUAUGUAGGUUAUAAUGUAAACUGUUAGUUUGUGGUGCUAAAGAAUUUAAUGUUUAAACUAAAAUA
rnacentral:tRNA from 1 species